rnacentral:rRNA from 1 species
AACGUAGGUGGCAAGCGUUAUCCGGAAUUACUGGGCGUAAAGGGUGCGCAGGCGGCCGCGCAAGUCGAGUGUGAAAUCCCCGAGCUUAACUUGGGAAUUGCGCUCGAAACUACGUGGCUGGAGUGUGGCAGAGGAAGGUGGAAUUCCACGUGUAGCGGUGAAAUGCGUAGAGAUGUGGAGGAACACCGAUGGCGAAGGCAGCCUUCUGGGCCAACACUGACGCUCAUGCACGAAAGCGUGGGGAGCAAACAGG